GUUUUCUUCAGUAAAUUAAAGAUUCAAACAUGGAACAUUGAACGGCCAUUGGCAGUUGACGGGGAGUUACAGGACAUCCGUAAGCAGUCUCACAAGUGAACCAUAACGCGCAAGGUCUACUAUCAACUGUAUCUCAGCUGCAUAAUAAUGUCGAGAAAAGCUGCUUCAAACCAAAAUGAGCUUUAAGUGCUUCUUUAGACAACAAUUUUGCAUUAUUUUGAUAUUGAAAAAACUUUUCACCCAUUAUAAAAAUACACAAAGUGUAGUUGUGCAGUUA